GUAGGUGAACCUGCGGAAGGAUCAUUAACACGUGAUACUCACGUAUUAAAACCCACCGAGAAAUAGUUAUACUAUCCUAGUUUUGGAUGCAGGUAGGCGAAGUGAGGGAAUGCUAUUGGCCGCCUUUCCGCAAGGAUUGUACGCCAUAACUCAUUAGUCGUUCUUAGGUCCGCCCUGGAGCUUGCACUGACAACUAGUUGACGAGUUACGACUGCUUAUUAAGCCUGUAGCAUAGCUUGCAGAUCGUAAU
rnacentral:misc_RNA from 1 species